rnacentral:rRNA from 1 species
GAUGAACGCUGGCGGCGUGCCUAAUACAUGCAAGUCGAGCGAACAGACGAGGAGUUUGCUCCUCUGACGUUAGCGGCGGACGGGUGAGUAACACGUGGAUAACCUACCUAUAAGACUGGGAUAACUUCGGGAAACCGGAGCUAAUACCGGAUAAUAUAUUGCACCGCAUGGUUCAAUAGUGAAAGACGGUUUUGCUGUCACUUAUAGAUGGUUCCGCGCCGCAUUAGCUAGUUGGUAAGGUAACGGCUUACCAAGGCAACGAUGGGUAGACGACCUGAGAGGGUGGUCGGCCGCACUGGAAGUGGACCGCGGACCUGGCUACUGCGGGAGGCAGCAGUAGGGAAUCUUCCGCAAUGGUCGAAAGCCUGACAGAACAGCGCGACGUCAGAGAUGAAGGUCUUCGGAUCGGAAUACUGUGUUAUUAGGGAAGAACAAAUGUGGAAGUAACUAUGGCCGGCUUGACGGUACCUAGUCAGGAAGCCACGGCUAACUACGUG